GCCUUCGUGGUGUAGUGGACAGCACGCUCGCCCCGUAUUCGACAGAUCCGUGGUUCGAGCCCCGGCGAGGGCA
rnacentral:tRNA from 1 species